rnacentral:rRNA from 1 species
AUUGAACGCUGGCGGCAGGCCUAACACACGCAAGUCGAGCGGAUGAAGAGAGCUUGCUCUCUGAUUCAGCGGCGGACGGGUGAGUAAUGCCUAGGAAUCUGCCUGGUAGUGGGGGACAACGUUUCGAAAGGAACGCUAAUACCGCAUACGUCCUACGGGAGAAAGCAGGGGACCUUCGGGCCUUGCGCUAUCAGAUGAGCCUAGGUCGGAUUAGCUAGUAGGUGAGGUAAAGGCUCACCUAGGCGACGAUCCGUAACUGGUCUGAGAGGAUGAUCAGUCACACUGGAACUGAGACACGGUCCAGACUCCUACGGGAGGCAGCAGUGGGGAAUAUUGGACAAUGGGCGAAAGCCUGAUCCAGCCAUGCCGCGUGUGUGAAGAAGGUCUUCGGAUUGUAAAGCACUUUAAGUUCGGAGGAAGGGCAGUAAGUUAAUACCUUGCUGUUUUGACGUUACCAACAGAAUAAGCACCGGCUAACUUCGUGCCAGCAGCCGCAGUAAGAC